rnacentral:rRNA from 1 species
ACACGCAUGACACACUGCAUAUCAAUAAGCGGAGGAAAAGAAACUGACAAGGAUUCCCUUAGUAACGGCGAGUGAAGCGGGAAGAGCUCAAAUUUGAAAUCUUCAAGGUUCUACCUUGACGAAUUGUAGUUUAUAGAAGUGUUUUCUGUUAGUGGAGUGGCAAAAGUUCUUUGGAAUAGGACAUCAUAGAGGGUGAGAAUCCCGUAUUUGGUCAUUCCUCCUAGCGUUGUGAUACACUUUCAACGAGUCGGAUUGUUUGGGAAUGCAGUCCAAAAUGGGUGGUAAAUUUCAUCUAAAGCUAAAUAUUGGCGAGAGACCGAUAGCGAACAAGUACCGUGAGGGAAAGAUGAAAAGAACUUUGAAAAGAGAGUUAAACAGUACGUGAAAUUGUCAAAAGGGAAGCGUUUGACACCAGUGUUGUUUUUCCGAAAAUCAAUUACGAAUGUUUUAUUUUUGAGGAGUUAUGACUUCAUCGGCUUGCUUCUUUCUUUACUGAAACUUUCUUAAUGCACUUUUCGGUUAACAAGUCAACAUCAAUUUCUUUUGUUGUAAAAGGGUAUGAGGAAGGUGGCUUUCUUUUCGGAGAAAGUGUUUAUAGCCUUGUGCCUCUGCAAUCGGAGAGAUUGAGGUCUGCAGCGUAGAUCCUUCGGGGUUAGAUACAUUUGUGCUAAGUUAUAGCUUUUCAUAGACAACUUGUUGACUAUGUUUAGUCUUGUAGCUUACUCGCUUAUGCUAUUUUACCUACGCUUAGGAUGUUGACGAGACUGUCGAUCUC